rnacentral:rRNA from 1 species
UGGGGAAUAUUGGACAAUGGGCGAAAGCCUGAUCCAGCCAUGCCGCGUGUGUGAAGAAGGUCUUUGGAUUGUAAAGCACUUUAAGUUGGGAGGAAGGGCAGUAAGCGAAUACCUUGCUGUUUUGACGUUACCGACAGAAUAAGCACCGGCUAACUCUGUGCCAGCAGCCGCGGUAAUACAGAGGGUGCAAGAGUUAAUCGGAAUUACUGGGCGUAAAGCGCGCGUAGGUGGUUCGUUAAGUUGAAUGUGAAAGCCCCGGGCUCAACCUGGGAACUGCAUCCAAAACUGGCGAGCUAGAGUAGGGCAGAGGGUGGUGGAAUUUCCUGUGUAGCGGUGAAAUGCGUAGAUAUAGGAAGGAACACCAGUGGCGAAGGCGACCACCUGGGCUCAUACUGACACUGAGGUGCGAAAGCGUGGGGAGCAAACAGG